CCUACGGGCUGCAGCAGUGGGGAAUAUUGCACAAUGUGCGCAAGCCUGAUGCAGCCAUGCCGCGUGUAUGAAGAAGGCCUUCGGGUUGUAAAGUACUUUCAGCGGGGAGGAAGGCGAUAAGGUUAGUAACCUUGUCGAUUGACGUUACCCGCAGAAGAAGCACCGGCUAACUCCGUGCCAGCAGCCGCGGUAAUACGGAGGGUGCAGGCGUUAAUCGGAAUUACUGGGCGUAGAGCGCACGCAGGCGGUCUGUCAAGUCGGAUGUGAAAUCCCCGGGCUCAACCUGGGAACUGCAUUCGAAACUGGCAGGCUAGAGUCUUGUAGAGGGGGGUAGAAUUCCAGGUGUAGCGGUGAAAUGCGUAGAGAUCUGGAGGAAUACCGGUGGCGAAGGCGGCCCCCUGGACAAAGACUGACGCUCAGGUGCGAAAGCGUGGGGAGCAAACAGGAUUAGAUACCCCAGUAGUC
rnacentral:rRNA from 1 species